GGGUUGUGAGGUUAAGCGACUAAGCGUACACGGUGGAUGCCCUGGCAGUCAGAGGCGAUGAAGGGCGUGCUAAUCUGCGAUAAGCGCCGGUAAGGUGAUAUGAACCGUUAUAACCGGCGAUACCCGAAUGGGGAAACCCAGUGUGAUUCGUCACACUAUCAUUAACUGAAUCCAUAGGUUAAUGAGGCGAACCGGGGGAACUGAAACAUCUAAGUACCCCGAGGAAAAGAAAUCAACCGAGAUUCCCCCAGUAGCGGCGAGCGAACGGGGAGGAGCCCAGAGCCUGAAUCAGCAUGUGUGUUAGUGGAAGCGUCUGGAAAGGUGCGCGAUACAGGGUGACAGCCCCGUACACAAAAGCGCAUGUGCUGUGAGCUCGAUGAGUAGGGCGGGACACGUGGUAUCCUGUCUGAAUAUGGGGGGACCAUCCUCCAAGGCUAAAUACUCCUGACUGACCGAUAGUGAACCAGUACCGUGAGGGAAAGGCGAAAAGAACCCCGGCGAGGGGAGUGAAAAAGAACCUGAAACCGUGUACGUACAAGCAGUGGGAGCACAGGUUUACCUGUGUGACUGCGUACCUUUUGUAUAAUGGGUCAGCGACUUAUAUUCUGUAGCAAGGUUAACCGUAUAGGGGAGCCGGAGGGAAACCGAGUCUUAACCGGGCGUUAAGUUGCAGGGUAUAGACCCGAAACCCGGUGAUCUAGCCAUGGGCAGGUUGAAGGUUGGGUAACACUAACUGGAGGACCGAACCGACUAAUGUUGAAAAAUUAGCGGAUGACCUGUGGCUGGGGGUGAAAGGCCAAUCAAACCGGGAGAUAGCUGGUUCUCCCCGAAAGCUAUUUAGGUAGCGCCUCGUGAAUUCAUCUCCGGGGGUAGAGCACUGUUUCGGCUAGGGGGCCAUCCCGGCUUACCAACCCGAUGCAAACUGCGAAUGCCGGAGAAUGUUAUCACGGGAGACACACGGCGGGUGCUAACGUCCGUCGUGAAGAGGGAAACAACCCAGACCGCCAGCUAAGGUCCCAAAGUCAUGGUUAAGUGGGAAACGAUGUGGGAAGGCCCAGACAGCCAGGAUGUUGGCUUAGAAGCAGCCAUCAUUUAAAGAAAGCGUAAUAGCUCACUGGUCGAGUCGGCCUGCGCGGAAGAUGUAACGGGGCUAAACCAUGCACCGAAGCUGCGGCAGCGAACGUAUCACCCAAGACAACUUUACGGAGUUGACGAUUGACGGAGCGAAGCGACGUCAAAGCGUUCAUUAAAGUCGAGUUGGCUUAGGGAUACGUUCGUUGGGUAGGGGAGCGUUCUGUAAGCCUGUGAAGGUGUGUCGUGAGGCAUGCUGGAGGUAUCAGAAGUGCGAAUGCUGACAUAAGUAACGAUAAAGCGGGUGAAAAGCCCGCUCGCCGGAAGACCAAGGGUUCCUGUCCAACGUUAAUCGGGGCAGGGUGAGUCGACCCCUAAGGCGAGGCCGAAAGGCGUAGUCGAUGGGAAACGGGUUAAUAUUCCCGUACUUGGUGUUACUGCGAAGGGGGGACGGAGAAGGCUAUGUUGGCCGGGCGACGGUUGUCCCGGUUUAAGCGUGUAGGUGUGUGUUCCAGGUAAAUCCGGUUCACUUUAACACUGAGGCGUGACGACGAGGCACUACGGUGCUGAAGCAACAAAUGCCCUGCUUCCAGGAAAAGCCUCUAAGCAUCAGGUAACACGAAAUCGUACCCCAAACCGACACAGGUGGUCAGGUAGAGAAUACCAAGGCGCUUGAGAGAACUCGGGUGAAGGAACUAGGCAAAAUGGUGCCGUAACUUCGGGAGAAGGCACGCUGACACGUAGGUGAAGUGAUUUACUCAUGGAGCUGAAGUCAGUCGAAGAUACCAGCUGGCUGCAACUGUUUAUUAAAAACACAGCACUGUGCAAACACGAAAGUGGACGUAUACGGUGUGACGCCUGCCCGGUGCCGGAAGGUUAAUUGAUGGGGUCAGCGCAAGCGAAGCUCCUGAUCGAAGCCCCGGUAAACGGCGGCCGUAACUAUAACGGUCCUAAGGUAGCGAAAUUCCUUGUCGGGUAAGUUCCGACCUGCACGAAUGGCGUAAUGAUGGCCAGGCUGUCUCCACCCGAGACUCAGUGAAAUUGAACUCGCUGUGAAGAUGCAGUGUACCCGCGGCAAGACGGAAAGACCCCGUGAACCUUUACUAUAGCUUGACACUGAACAUUGAGCCUUGAUGUGUAGGAUAGGUGGGAGGCUUUGAAGUGUGGACGCCAGUCUGCAUGGAGCCGACCUUGAAAUACCACCCUUUAAUGUUUGAUGUUCUAACGUGGACCCGUAAUCCGGGUUGCGGACAGUGUCUGGUGGGUAGUUUGACUGGGGCGGUCUCCUCCUAAAGAGUAACGGAGGAGCACGAAGGUUGGCUAAUCCUGGUCGGACAUCAGGAGGUUAGUGCAAUGGCAUAAGCCAGCUUGACUGCGAGCGUGACGGCGCGAGCAGGUGCGAAAGCAGGUCAUAGUGAUCCGGUGGUUCUGAAUGGAAGGGCCAUCGCUCAACGGAUAAAAGGUACUCCGGGGAUAACAGGCUGAUACCGCCCAAGAGUUCAUAUCGACGGCGGUGUUUGGCACCUCGAUGUCGGCUCAUCACAUCCUGGGGCUGAAGUAGGUCCCAAGGGUAUGGCUGUUCGCCAUUUAAAGUGGUACGCGAGCUGGGUUUAGAACGUCGUGAGACAGUUCGGUCCCUAUCUGCCGUGGGCGCUGGAGAACUGAGGGGGGCUGCUCCUAGUACGAGAGGACCGGAGUGGACGCAUCACUGGUGUUCGGGUUGUCAUGCCAAUGGCACUGCCCGGUAGCUAAAUGCGGAAGAGAUAAGUGCUGAAAGCAUCUAAGCACGAAACUUGCCCCGAGAUGAGUUCUCCCUGAGACUUUAGGUCUCCUGAAGGAACGUUGAAGACGACGACGUUGAUAGGCCGGGUGUGUAAGCGCAGCGAUGCGUUGAGCUAACCGGUACUAAUGAACCGUGAGGCUUAACCUUACAACGCCGAAG
rnacentral:rRNA from 4 species